UACGUAGGGGGCAAGCGUUGUCCGGAAUCAUUGGGCGUAAAGAGCGUGUAGGCGGCUUGGUAAGUCCGCUGUGAAAGUCCAGGGCUCAACCCUGGAAUGCCGGUGGAAACUGUCAAGCUUGAGUCCGGAAGAGGCGAGUGGAAUUCCUGGUGUAGCGGUGAAAUGCGCAGAUAUCAGGAGGAACACCAAUGGCGAAGGCAGAUCUCUGGGCCGUAACUGACGCUGAGGAGCGAAAGCAUGGGGAGCGAACAGG
rnacentral:rRNA from 1 species